UGGGGAAUAUUGGGCAAUGGGCGCAAGCCUGACCCAGCAACGCCGCGUGAAGGAAGAAGGCCCUCGGGUUGUAAACUUCUUUUAUCAAGGACGAAACAAAUGACGGUACUUGAUGAAUAAGCCACGGCUAACUACGUGCCAGCAGCCGCGGUAAUACGUAGGUGGCAAGCGUUAUCCGGAUUUACUGGGUGUAAAGGGCGUGUAGGCGGGACUGCAAGUCAGAUGUGAAAACCAUGGGCUCAACCCAUGGCCUGCAUUUGAAACUGUAGUUCUUGAGUGUUGGAGAGGCAGGCGGAAUUCCGU
rnacentral:rRNA from 1 species